GUCUUUGCCUGCUGCCAUCCACGUGAUAUGUGACUUGCUGCUCCUUGCCUUCUGCCAUAAUUGUGAGGCCUCCUCAGCCACACGGAAAUGCUUAUAGGCAUAAGAGACUUGCCUUGUCUCAGAUGAAACUUUGGACUGUGGACUUUUGAGUUAAUGCUGAUAUUAGGUCCUGCACAGUUCAAUAUUAAAUGGAGUUUCUACCCUAGCAUGAAAGGAGGAAGAGAGAAAAUCGGAUCCAAGAGAAAUUCGGCUCCAACAUUCCCCAAAUAUUAGAGUGGUUAUGUUGAAGAUGUAAAUAUUCUCCCUGCUGUGAGUAUUACUGCAGCUGCCCAAAGAUGCUUUAUUUUAAAGAUGUGGAUACAGGAAGAUAAAAGCAUCAGAAACACUGCAUGGGAAAAUCAUUCAGACUGCAGCUUCCUGGUUUUAGACAUCCCCACUGGCAAUUGGGACAUCUAUUUUGGAGAUGUAAUUGAAAAGACUGAAGAAUGUACUGAGGACCUUCUGGCUGAUAGAAGCUGACAAAGAAGCCAAGAUUGGUGAAGAUUUCUGCAAUACCUGAGUUUCUAAUCACAACAACAAAAAUGACCUGGAUAGAAAACCUUGGAGAUAGUAAUUGAUGGGCAUCACGUAGCUGGUUGCUGGAGAAACACUGAAGCAGAACUUGUAAUAUCUUCAAAACAAGUGAAGGCCAGGAAUCAGAAAUGCUUCUGAAGGUCAGCUGCCUCUCCAGCCAUCUAUGAAGAGCUAUGGUUCUGAAUCCUGGCUAAUAUCAGAAUCAUCCUGGGAGCUUUUGAAAAUCCUGAUGCUCAAGUCACACUCCAUACUCAGACAAGAAGCUGAGUCUCAGAGAGAGAAAAUGACUCAUCCAAGCAAGGUUUGAGACCUAAGAAAGGUUGUGUAAGCAGAAGCUGGAAGACCCUUGAAAAGAGCAUUCAUUCAAGAAAUGAAGCAUGAGAUAGGAUGGAAGGAGGGAAGAAAGACAAGCAUAUGGCAUAUCAGGUCUCUUCCAGUGCUAAAGGCUGCCUAUGAUACUCAUCUGACCUGAUUUCUCCUGCACAGUGUUGCAACUGACGAGUAGCAGACUUGCCCUUGCCUGCAUUUGGGGGGAUGGCUGAGACUUUCCUUACAGAAAGCCCUACUUUCAGCAUGAACACUAACCCAGUUUAUUGGCUCAGGGUGUAGAGAGUUGCCUUGUCACUGGCGAAGUCAGAUGCAGCCAGUACCAGAGCUCUGCACUAGCUGUGAACACUAAGGAAGAAUAGCUGAGUGAGGAAGCAGAGUGCCAGGCAGCACAUCCUUCUUCAGGUGUUUCCUGCCCUGGGCCAGAUCCCAGGCACUGCAGCAAUAUCUCUGCAUGAUCUAGGGCUCCUGGAAAUAGCCCAUUAAGGGCAAAACUCGCUGCCCAGAAAACAUUAGAACAUUAAAAGAGCAGGGUCUCAUCUGAUUGUCUUGGUUUCCUGAGGCUCAUUCAGUCUGUGUCCACUGGUUUCAGUCUGAGUUCUCUGCACUUUGAGGAUGCAGACAGUGAAGUUCUCCCAUGGUUAUAGGGGGAGAGAUCAUAGGAAUGCUAUGGAAAGAGGCCUGAAGUCAGAGCCAGCUAGUGGUUAUUAUUUAUUAAUUGCCUGUGAGGUGCCAGGCGCACAUAUUAGACCAUAUGUGAUUGCAGUGAGCCACCCGGAUCCCCUUCAAGCUGCUGCUGCAGCUGAUGGAAGUCCUAUUGGCAGACAGCCUUCUCUCAUCAGCCCCUUCAGGACUUGCCUCAGUUGCAGAGAGCUGCCUUCCCCAAGAUCACACCCUUCCCUGGGGACUCACAACCAAUGGCUGAUCCAGAAGAAUCCAUAAAGCCCGUAUCAUUUCAGCCCAAUUUAGGACAGCUUUGUUGAGCCAUUAGACCUACAUGCAGCCCAACCUCUCCUUCUACCCACUUCUUCUUUCUUCCCUUUCCUUCCACGGUGUCUGUUCCAAGCACUUGCCUUAAUAAACAUGUAACAGGUUAAA
rnacentral:lncRNA from 1 species